AAUGAACGCUGGCGGCAUGCCUUACACAUGCAAGUCGAACGGCAGCAUGACCUAGCUUGCUAGGUUGAUGGCGAGUGGCGAACGGGUGAGUAAUGCAUCGGAACUUGCCUUUUAGUGGGGGAUAACGUAGCGAAAGUUACGCUAAUACCGCAUAUUCUCUGCGGAGGAAAGCAGGGGACCUUCGGGCCUUGCGCUAGAAGAGCGGCCGAUGUCGGAUUAGCUAGUUGGUGAGGUAAAGGCUCACCAAGGCAACGAUCCGUAGCGGGGCUGAGGGGAUGAUCCGCCACACUGGGACUGAGACAAGGCCCAGACUCCUACGGGAGGCAGCAGUGGGGAAUUUUGGACAAUGGGCGCAAGCCUGAUCCAGCAAUGCCGCGUGAGUGAAGAAGGCCUUCGGGUUGUAAAGCUCUUUCGGCUGGGAAGAAAUCGCACCCUCUAAUACAGGGUGUGGAUGACGGUACCAGCAGAAGAAGCACCGGCUAACUACGUG
rnacentral:rRNA from 1 species